CGUCAAGUCAUCAUGGCCCUUAUGUCCAGGGCUACACACGUGCUACAAUGGGCGGUACAAAGUGACGCGAAGCUGCGAGGCUAGAGCGAAGCACGAAAGCCGCCCUUAGUUCGGAUUGAAGUCUGAAACCCGACUUCAUGAAGCUGGAAUCGCUAGUAAUCGCGCAUCAGCAUGGCGCGGUGAAUACGUUCCCGGGCCUU
rnacentral:rRNA from 1 species